rnacentral:lncRNA from 1 species
UGAAGAUACUGACCAUGAAGUAAUUUGUACAAGUUGCAAAGAAGAGAGGAGAAGAAAUCUUAUCAGGUAUGUAUUUUGAAAAUAUCAUUAUUCAUGUGCUCAUGUUAUAUAUGAUGAAAUUAGAUUGUUCAAUAGAUUUCUGCUUGCUGUCUCAACCUAUGUUUCUAUUUCUAAAUCUGUUUCUAAAGUUUGUUCUUAACCUCUCUACACUUGAAACCCAGCUCAACACAGUGAGGUUUAAUCACAAAAUAGUGAAUUGAAAACCAAAUUGUAUCGACUUCUCUGGAACAAUUCUCCAACUCUGCUAUAGGCUCAAUUCUCCAAUUUGUUUUAUUGUUUGCUACAAUUUGGUGAUGGGGAGUAGAUCUUCCUAUGUUUGUUCUACAAAAUCUGUGAAAAUGAUACAAAAGUUUUCAUUCCAGAUAAUCCAACCACAAAUUUCUCAUUAUAUCUCCUUCUAUCCAGCCAUACAGUCCAGCCACCAUUCCAUUCAAAACACUACACUCUCAUUGAUCUCAUCAUACCCUCUCCUCAAAAGGCUCUCCAGACAACAAAAUUAUACUCACAAGUGUAGAGCAGAAGGUACUUCUCUAUUGUAAUAGCGUUGGUGGAAUGAUUCCCACCUAGGAUUUCUUUGAGUUCAGGAUCCAUUAAAAAUGCCAGGAGUAAGUGUAAAAAAAAAAAGUGCAUAUAAAGUACAAUAAAAAGAGAAUUGGUACAGCUUUAAGUAACCCAAAAACUUUUAUUGCUAAAAUACAGAAAUAAAACCAUUAACGUGUUUCACCUUUCAAGGCUUCUUCAAAAUGGAAUAGCAUUUUUAACUGAUCCUGAACUCAAAGAAAUUUUAGGUGGUGACCAUUCAACCAACACUAUUACAAUAGAGCAGUUCCUUUUGCUCUACACUUGUGAGUAUAAUUUUAUAUAUUUUAUGUCUUUCUUUUACCAACUGAGAGCACUAUUGUUGUUUCUUAUAUACCUUGGAGCUUUGGUUGGUUAAAGGUCUCUUCAAUGUGAGUUUAUUACCUAACUUUUUUUUUUUAAUCCAUUUUACCCUUGGAUUUUGAUGUAUUACACUAUCGGCUGCUUGUCAUAUCCCCCUUUGUCUCUCCACAUAUACUGCUAUUUUAACCAUCCGGACAGAUCAACUCCCGAGGAUUGCACCCCUAUUUCACCCUGCUAUUUUAGUGAGACUUUUUAUUUUCCACCCCACUUACUGUUGUAUUGCCAUUUAGACCAUUUGGUCUGUUUCCUAUUGUAUAUUUAUUGCUACCAGACUUUUGGCGCAGCCCUUACCUCCUUCUUUAGCUUAAAUUCGGUUUGGUCUAAAAGAACUCCUUUAAUUUGAGCGUUGGAGCGUUACUUGCAGCAAAAGGCUCCAAAGUUAAAACCUAUAGGAGGUGAGAGAAAGGCAGCCCUGUCUUGUUCCAUUUUUUUUAUGGUGUUCCAAUCUGUGAAAAUGCCAGGACCCACUGUUUUAGCCAUUGGAUUCUGAUAAAGGGCCAUCAUUGCUGGUUUUAUUGGUCCUAUAAAACCACAUUUUUCUAAAGUUGUACUCCUAAAUUUCCAGCUGACCCUGCCAAAGGUCUUUUCAGCAUCUAAAAACAGGUCCAACUGGGGAACCUUUUUCUUAAAAGCAUAUUCGAUCAGACCAAUCCAGCAUACGUGAAUUGUUACUUGCUAAGCGACCUUGAACAAAUCCAAUCUGAUCCUGGUGCACUAAAGAUGGAAUUAUAGACUUUAUCCUAUUUGCAAUCACAGAGGAAUAUAUUUUUAUAUCAGAGUUUAUCAAUAUCAUCGGUCUGUAGUUAGCACGGUUUGUUGGAUCUUUCCCUGAUUUUAAUAUUGGUGUAAUUGUGGCCUGUCGGAGUUCUUUUGGUGGGUGACCUGAAUCUUUAAUUGCAUUGAAGGUGUUAACGAAGUGUUUAACCAAAUCAUUCUUAAAUUUCUUAUAGAACAAAUUGGUGUAACCAUCUGGUCCGGGGUCCUUGUUCGAUUUUCGAUGUUUGAUUACAUCUAUAACUUCAUUUACAGAAAAGUGUAAAUAAAAAUCCCUUAAUCGUUUGCCUGUCAAUUUUGGCAGGUCGAUCUUAUCUAAAUAUUGAACUAUAUCAUCCUCCAGGGGGCUAAGCGAGAGAUCAUAAAGACUGGCAUAAAACUUAUUAAAAACAUCCCCAAUUGCUUUUGGGUUGGUACAAGUUUGUAUAUCAACAAUAAUUUUUUCAAUUCUUGUCCUUCCUUUACGCAUUUUCAAUCUGUGAGCAUUCUAUCGGCUGGAUUACCUGCAGGAAUUUAAAGGGUCAUGUUCAGUGUUCACUUUGAGCAGUGCAUAUAGCUCGUGUUAAUCUGGAGAUUCUGAUUUGUGGCCUAGUUCACUGAGAGCAUCCUGUUUUAAACUGGGGGCAGACUCAGAACUUCGGUCUGUACCGUCAAUAGCCAUUAAAGCCCUGCACUGCAUGACGGCGAUGGCAUGUACCUUCAUGCGCUCGCUAAGGGCUUAAAAUAAGUAUUAAAGGGGUACUGUCACUUCUGAGUAUUAAUAAUUUUCUUUACUUAUUACGAUUUAACAAAUAUGUAUUUGUGAGGUGUGAACAGUCAAGUUAAAUGCAGAAAUCCACACCUCUUUAUUUUACAACUGGGUGCCUCCAUCUUUGCUCCCUGUUAAUCAGUGUUAUAAACUCUGUCCUUUGCUCCUGACAGUCCGCAUGGAGAGAGCAUAAAGAGAAGAGGAGACAUUACACAAUUUCUCUUUUCCAUAAGAAAUGUUUGUCCUAGCAUUGCCCUUUCUGAACUGCAUUAUGAUGUAAUUUGCUAAAUUUUUAUAUAAAUUUAAAAGAAAAUGGAGCAUCUCAAAAGGUAAACAAAAGUUGAUUUACAAUAUUUUAUGAAAUAGUGUAAUCUCCAGAGAUGUGACCGUUCCCCUUUAAUGAAUGAAAAGGAAAUUUAAUGCUUUGUGCUCUGCCUCAUUGUAACCGGUUGGUUUCAUGGAUUGAUCUAUGGAGGUCCAACCUACCUGCUACGUUUAUCAAAUUUUGGUAAGUCCAUAAAUUAUAAUGGAAAGUUACUACUUUUUAUCUAAAUGAACAGAUUAAUGGUGUUCAAAUUUUAAGUCUAUUUUUAGCUCUACUGUAGUUCUGUGUAAGACAGCUAUCCUAUGUGACAUUUGUUCUGCAUUUAUUUUUAGACAGGUGCAUGAUUUAGUCAAAGAACAUGGCUGUCUUGAAGUUUCUGGUCAAAAACUUUUAGGCUGGUAUAUGAUGCUUGCUGCAGAAGACAGAAAAAUUAUAAAAGGUAAUGGUUUAACAUUUAUUUUUUUUUGUUCUUGAAUCUUAGGUUAGAAAUGAAAAUAAUUCUAUGUAGUUAUGCCAUGAUUAAAAAUCUAGAGUAUUCCAGAACAUUUGGUCUUGGAGAAUUAUUUUUAAAUUGCAAGUGACUCUCCUUAUUGCCAUGAAAUGUGGCUUUGUCCUUGGUUCCUUGUUGUGCCAUAUGCAAAAAACAAAAAAACACAGUUGGUAUGGUGAAAUUAAAGCUGUUUUACUAUGCUUAUGCAAAAACUACCAAAAGCAAGCAUGUAAAACUCAAUACUGUCUGCACAGUAGUUGAAAUUUGAUACUGAGUGUUGUGACCAAUUAUAACCACCAGCAAAACAAUAAAUAGCUGUACCUUCAGUAUAAAUGAAUCCAUAAUACCCGGUGUCCCACGGAGCUUAUUAAAACCAGAAGCAACCUAAACAUGCCUGCUAUAUGCCAUUUCAUACAUGUAGGGUUGCCACAUUGGACAUUUUCUUUAUGAAUAUUGCUCUCUUUACUGAAUGGAGUCAGGGUUUGUUGUGUUUUAGGAAUAGAAAAAUAUUAUAUUAAAUGACGCAAGGUUCCUCAAUUUCCUCCUGGUUGUUAUAAUGUCCAGUUAUGAAAUACCCGAUUUAAAACAUAGCAAGAACAAAGGGCGCUUGCUAAUCUGAUGUAGUUAACUUUAACAGCAACUUUAAAGUACUGACCUCAAUAACUGGCAGUUUUGCUAUUGAAACCUAAUUUUCUCUCUUUUUUCCUCUCUACUUUACUUUCCAUUUAAAAAUGCUUACUAGAAUGAGAUCAUUCAAUACCGGUAUUAUAUGAUUUUAGGCCUUCUUGAUAACUUGGUAAUAUGAUGGUUACUCAUGCAGGCAGUUCUGAUGAUACUUAAAUUUAGAGACAUUGCUAAAUGUGUCCCUUUUUAUUUAUUUUAUUUUUAUUUUUUUUAGAAUCUGGUCACAUAACGGAGUUCAUACAGGACAUCCCUUCCUUGCAGUUAGACAACAAUUGUGUGAAACUAAAAGGUAAAUGCAGACUAAGUGAC